GAUUAACGCUAGCGGCAGGCAUAAUACAUGCAAGUUGAACGGCAGCACAGGUAGCAAUACUGGGUGGCGAGUGGCGCACGGGUGCGUAACACGUAUGCAACCUACCCUAUACAGGCGAAUAACCUUUAGAAAUGAGGGCUAAUACGCCGUAGUAUUACAGAUGGGCAUCUAUUUGUAAUUAAAGAUUUAUCGGUAUAGGAUGGGCAUGCGUCCCAUUAGUUAGUUGGUAAGGUAACGGCUUACCAAGACGAUGAUGGGUAGGGGAUCUGAGAGGACUUACCCCCACCCGGGAACUGGGACACGACCCGGACUCCUACGGAGGCAGCAAGUAGGGAUAAUUGGCCAAGGGCCGGAGGGCUAACCAGCCAUGCCGCGUGCAGGAAGACGGCCUUAUGGGUUGUAAACUGCUUUUAUACGGGAAUAAUAGAGUGUACGCGUACAUUUAUGCAAGUAUCGUAUGAAUAAGCAUCGGCUAACUCCGUG
rnacentral:rRNA from 1 species